ACCAGAAUGGCAUAGUGGUUUGAGUGCUGGACUAUCUAACUCUGGAGACCAGGGUUUGAAUCCCUGCUUGGCCA